CUCCAGGUUCCCCGUGACCCUGAAAAGGAGUAAGCGGUAGAAGAUGGAUGGAUGGGAGAUAACCUAGGCUUCUGGUCAACAUGUUUGGAUUACAGCCUCAGUCAGAUCACAGUUAGCUACGUAAUUGUAUACAGACCUGGAAACAAGGUGUGGAAGAAGCUGCAAAAGAUGGAAGAGUGCUCAAACAGCAGCUUAAAAAGGGGAGGACCUGGCUACUACUGGGAGGACAAUAUCCAUACCAUGGGGCACCAAAUGGGGUCAGAGCUCCCCAUCUAUGAAGAGAAACAUCUGCUGGAUUUUAUAGAAGAGUUGGUUUUCCAGGAGUUACUGGAGCAAUUUACUGUACACAUAUUCCCAUUCAAAACCCAGGUGGAGAAAAUGGAGAGCUGUUUUGCAACACCACUGCUGACUUUAAAUCUGAUGACUGAAGGCCAGAUGAAUGGAGUAAAUGGAAUGCGUGUACUCAGUCUAUCCAGCCCGCAAAGGCACAGCCUCUCAGAGACACUUUAAUUUAAUUCCUCCAAAGAACAGACAUUAUCUCUGCCACUAAGAGCCAGGGACUUUAGAGACCAGGCUCUGCAGUGCUGUUUGUGUGUAUACAGCUUUUGUGUGUGUAGUAUAAAUGCAGCAUCCAAGUUCAAGUCCUAAGUGUUGACCUUGUUAAGGUAAGGAAGGGGG
ensembl:lncRNA